UGGGGAAUAUUGCACAAUGGGGGAAACCCUGAUGCAGCGACGCCGCGUGAGUGAAGAAGUAUUUCGGUAUGUAAAGCUCUAUCAGCAGGGAAGAAAAUGACGGUACCUGACUAAGAAGCCCCGGCUAACUACGUGCCAGCAGCCGCGGUAAUACGUAGGGGGCAAGCGUUAUCCGGAUUUACUGGGUGUAAAGGGAGCGUAGACGGCGCGGCAAGUCUGAAGUGAAAGCCCGGGGCUUAACCCCGGGACUGCUUUGGAAACUGUCAUGCUAGAGUGCUGGAGAGGUAAGUGGAAUUCCUAGUGUAGCGGUGAAAUGCGUAGAUAUUAGGAGGAACACCAGUGGCGAAGGCGGCUUACUGGACAGUAACUGACGUUGAGGCUCGAAGGCGUGGGGAGCAAACA
rnacentral:rRNA from 1 species